UAGGGAAUCUUCCACAAUGGACGCAAGUCUGAUGGAGCAACGCCGCGUGAGUGAAGAAGGCUUUCGGGUCGUAAAAACUCUGUUAUUGAAGAAGAACGUGUGUGACAGUAACUGGUCAUGCAGUGACGGUAUUCAAUCAGAAAGUCACGGCUAACUACGUGCCAGCAGCCGCGGUAAUACGUAGGUGGCAAGCGUUGUCCGGAUUUAUUGGGCGUAAAGCGAGUGCAGGCGGUCUUUUAAGUCUGAUGUGAAAGCCUUCGGCUUAACCGAAGAAGGGCAUCGGAAACUGGGAGACUUGAGUGCAGAAGAGGAGAGUGGAACUCCAUGUGUAGCGGUGAAAUGCGUAGAUAUAUGGAAGAACACCAGUGGCGAAGGCGGCUCUCUGGUCUGUAACUGACGCUGAGGCUCGAAAGCGUGGGUAGCAAACAGGAUUAG
rnacentral:rRNA from 1 species